ensembl:lncRNA
GUACAUUAUAUGGAAAAUAAUGUGUUUUUUGAAACUUAAACUGCAUAAACACAUUGCAUUACACCAAAUACACCAAAUAUGUUCUUUUUAGCAGCAUCAUAUGACCCCUUUAAAAAUAAUAUUUUAUUUUUUAAAUGUGCACAUUCACUCUUAUUCGUAUGUCUAAUAGUUGAAAACGCAAACGUUUCGUCACGUUCAUUUAUGAUUUACAUUAAUCAUGGUUGCAUAUUUUCAAUUCAAAACUGCGAAAUGUCAUGAAAAGUUGAGUAGUUUGCAUCAAUAGAUAGUCUAUUACUGUCGGUCGCUGAACAUUUCUAUCAUAACAGUGUCACAGUGUCUGGUCUGUGUUUCCCUGGGUGUCCACUAGUGGUCUCACUUCCCCAUAGGCACCCCACUGCAGGCACUACAUUUCCCACAAAGCCUUGUCCCUUCAUCACGGUUAAUUGCACACCUGUUAAUUGCACUCAGCUGUCUCGACUUUCAUCGUCUUCACCUAUCUAUAUAACCGGUCUGUUUUCUAUCUGGGUCAUGGAGUCCUUCUGUAACGAAUGCACACUGGAAACGAGCGAUCCAAAAGCAGUGGGUCUAUAGGGUAAUCCAAAAAUCAUAAUCCAAAAACAGGCAAGAGGUCAUAACACAAAAUCAGUCCAGAAACAAGAAACAAGAAACAGAAAGAUAGAAAACAGACCGGUCAUAUACAUUCCCAAUGAAUGUAUAUGACGCCGAAAGAAAACUGUUUAGAGCAUUUUUAAUAUAAGCACCAGUUAAGCUGUGAUACAGGACGACAGGGAGAUGCCAAAAGACCACUAAACCUGCUUACUGUACAUGCUACUAUACGGAUCCAUUCAGAAUAACUAAACCACUGACCAGCGCAUAAUCUGCCAGCCAGCAUUCAUUAUACAACACCCAGACACUGACACUUUGACUACUGGCAAUAUGUCAGAAGUGCUGGUACGCAUGAAAAAGUGCCAGUACACUAAAGACUAAUAUAUUGAAGUUCCGGUAAUGCAUACCGGUGCGUAUCGGCCCACUUUAAGCACUUAAGUAAUAAAAAUAAAGUAUGUAUUUUCUAUGGCUUCUGAGUUGCAAUAAAUAGACUUGAAAUGCGACUUGUUACUGCUGGGUAUGAUGAUGAU